rnacentral:rRNA from 1 species
CGUGAGUAACCUGCCCUUGACUUUGGGAUAACUUCAGGAAACUGGGGCUAAUACCGGAUAGGAGCUCCUGCUGCAUGGUGGGGGUUGGAAAGUUUCGGCGGUUGGGGAUGGACUCGCGGCUUAUCAGCUUGUUGGUGGGGUAGUGGCUUACCAAGGCUUUGACGGGUAGCCGGCCUGAGAGGGUGACCGGCCACAUUGGGACUGAGAUACGGCCCAGACUCCUACGGGAGGCAGCAGUGGGGAAUAUUGCACAAUGGGCGGAAGCCUGAUGCAGCAACGCCGCGUGCGGGAUGACGGCCUUCGGGUUGUAAACCGCUUUCGCCUGUGACGAAGCGUGAGUGACGGUAAUGGGUAAAGAAGCACCGGCUAACUACGUGCCAGCAGCCGCGGUGAUACGUAGGGUGCGAGCGUUGUCCGGAUUUAUUGGGCGUAAAGGGCUCGUAGGUGGUUGAUCGCGUCGGAAGUGUAAUCUUGGGGCUUAACC